GAUGAAGAACGCAGCGAAAUGCGAUAAGUAAUGCGAAUUGCAGAAUCCGUGAGUCAUCGAAUCUUUGAACGCACAUUGCGCCCCUUGGUUAUUCCGAAGGGCAUGCCUGUUCGAGCGUCAUUUCAACCAUCAAGCCCCAGGCUUGUGUUGGGGACCUGCGGCUGCCGCAGGCCCUGAAAACCAGUGGCGGGCUCGCUAGUCACACCGAGCGUAGUAGCAUACACAUCGCUCAGGGCGUGCUGCGGGUUCCGGCCGUUAAACCCCUUUUUUACCCAAGGUUGACCUCGGAUCAGGUAGGAAGACCCGCUGAACUUAAGCAUAUCAAUAAGCGGAGGA
rnacentral:misc_RNA from 1 species